UUUUCCCUGCCGUGCGCGUCGGGACCAGAGCAGUUGUGAACCAACACUUUUUUAAUGGGAGCUGAACUUUCUGAACAGCGUAGCUGUUAAGAAGAGGCCCCCACUUGAAAACAGGGUUCAAGCCAACGGUCUGACGGCAUUGUGCGGGGAUUUU
rnacentral:other from 3 species